rnacentral:rRNA from 1 species
CCUACGGGAGGCAGCAGUGGGGAAUAUUGCGCAAUGGGCGAAAGCCUGACGCAGCGACGCCGCGUGAGGGAUGAAGGUCUUCGGAUCGUAAACCCCUGUCAGCAGGGAAGAAAGGUCACUGAGCUAAUCAGCAGUGAAUUGACGGUACCUGCAAAGGAAGCACCGGCUAACGCCGUGCCAGAAGCCGCGGUAAGACGGAGGGUGCGAGCGUUAAUGGGAGUGAGUGGGCGUAAAGGGCGCGUAGGCGGUAUGUCAAGUCAAGGGUGAAAUCCCCGCGCUGAACGAGGGAACUGCCUUUGAAAAUGGCAAACUGGAGUGUGUGAGAGGAUAGUGGAAUUCCAGGUGUAGGAGUGAAAUCCGUAGAUAUCUGGAGGAACAUCAGUGGCGAAGGCGACUAUCUGGCACAUAACUGACGCUGAGGAGCGAAAGCGUGGGUAGCAAACAGGAUUAGAUACCCGAGUAGUC